rnacentral:tRNA from 1 species
GCAGUCAUGGCGGAACAGGCAGACGCGCACGUUUAAGGGGCGUGUGGGUAACCGUGUGGGUUCAAGUCCCACUGACUGCACCA